AUUGAACGCUGGCGGCAGGCCUAACACAUGCAAGUCGAACGGUAACAGGAAGAAGCUUGCUUCUUUGCUGACGAGUGGCGGACGGGUGAGUAAUGUCUGGGAAACUGCCUGAUGGAGGGGGAUAACUACUGGAAACGGUAGCUAAUACCGCAUAACGUCGCAAGACCAAAAAGGGGGACCUUCGGGCCUCUUGCCAUCGGAUGUGCCCAGAUGGGAUUAGCUAGUAGGUGGGGUAACGGCUCACCUAGGCGACGAUCCCUAGCUGGUCUGAGAGGAUGACCAGCCACACUGGAACUGAGACACGGUCCAGACUCCUACGGGAGGCAGCAGUGGGGAAUAUUGCACAAUGGGCGCAAGCCUGAUGCAGCCAUGCCGCGUGUAUGAAGAAGGCCUUCGGGUUGUAAAGUACUUUCAGCGGGGAGGAAGGGAGUAAAGUUAAGACCUUUGCUCAUUGACGUUACCCGCAGAAGAAGCACCGGCGAACUCCGU
rnacentral:rRNA from 1 species